rnacentral:rRNA from 2 species
UUGAUUUGAGAGUUUGAUCCUGGCUCAGGACGAACGCUGGCGGCGUGCCUAAUACAUGCAAGUCGAACGAACUCUGGUAUCGAUUGGUGCUUGCAUCAUGAUUUACAUUUGAGGGCGAACUGGCCGCGUGAGUGAAGAAGGGUUUCGGCUCGUAAAACUCUGUUGUUAAAGAAGAACAUAUCUGAGAGUAACUGUUCAGGUAUUGACGGUAUUUAACCAGAAAGCCACGGCUAACUACGUGCCAGCAGCCGCGGUAAUACGUAGGUGGCAAGCGUUGUCCGGAUUUAUUGGGCGUAAAGCGAGCGCAGGCGGUUUUUUAAGUCUGAUGUGAAAGCCUUCGGCUCAACCGAAGAAGUGCAUCGGAAACUGGGAAACUUGAGUGCAGAAGAGGACAGUGGAACUCCAUGUGUAGCGGUGAAAUGCGUAGAUAUAUGGAAGAACACCAGUGGCGAAGGCGGCUGUCUGGUCUGUAACUGACGCUGAGGCUCGAAAGUAUGGGUAGCAAACAGGAUUAGAUACCCUGGUAGUCCAUACCGUAAACGAUGAAUGCUAAGUGUUGGAGGGUUUCCGCCCUUCAGUGCUGCAGCUAACGCAUUAAGCAUUCCGCCUGGGGAGUACGGCCGCAAGGCUGAAACUCAAAGGAAUUGACGGGGGCCCGCACAAGCGGUGGAGCAUGUGGUUUAAUUCGAAGCUACGCGAAGAACCUUACCAGGUCUUGACAUACUAUGCAAAUCUAAGAGAUUAGACGUUCCCUUCGGGGACAUGGAUACAGGUGGUGCAUGGUUGUCGUCAGCUCGUGUCGUGAGAUGUUGGGUUAAGUCCCGCAACGAGCGCAACCCUUAUUAUCAGUUGCCAGCAUUAAGUUGGGCACUCUGGUGAGACUGCCGGUGACAAACCGGAGGAAGGUGGGGAUGACGUCAAAUCAUCAUGCCCCUUAUGACCUGGGCUACACACGUGCUACAAUGGAUGGUACAACGAGUUGCGAACUCGCGAGAGUAAGCUAAUCUCUUAAAGCCAUUCUCAGUUCGGAUUGUAGGCUGCAACUCGCCUACAUGAAGUCGGAAUCGCUAGUAAUCGCGGAUCAGCAUGCCGCGGUGAAUACGUUCCCGGGCCUUGUACACACCGCCCGUCACACCAUGAGAGUUUGUAACACCCAAAGUCGGUGGGGUAACCUUUUAGGAACCAGCCGCCUAAGGUGGGACAGAUGAUUAGGGUGAAGUCGUAACAAGGUAGCCGUAGGAGAACCUGCGGCUGGAUCACCUCCUUUCUAAGGAA